rnacentral:lncRNA from 1 species
GGUCUCUGUGUACUCACCACUACACCAGUGUGUUUCUGUCACAGGAACGCAGUGGGACAAAUUAGCUGCUUUGAGUUAUCCGACAAGAAAAAGCAGCAGCUGAGGAAUCUGAUUGUAGCUGUAUUUGGAGAUCCCAGCACAUGGAGUGAAGCCCAAGUCAGCGCACUGGCCAUCAUCAUCCCUCACCUGACAGAGGGCGACUGUGCCACUUUGAAAGAAAAUGUGUUACCGUUUCUCAGAAAGUCAUGCAUCUCCCUCAUUUCCCCGCUCAGCUUCAAAAAGUUCUCUGAGAACCAGCUAAAGGCUUUUGGGCCUGAUAAUGCUGAAAUGGUAACCAGUUCCCAGCAUGCAAUGCUGAGCGCAAAACAACUGGCUGCGCUGGAAGAAGCAGAAACUGGAUCUGAUGAACUCGUACUGAACUCCGUACAAUCAAGAGCUCCGUUGCUGAAUGUGGAGGGGGUCGUGGCCUUUUCCAAGCCUCUCCUUUUCUUCUUCAUGGGAUUUAUGUUGCUCUGAGAACUGUUAGCACAUCACACCGCUAACACGCUAAAGCUCAGCCUAGCAUACACACUGUAACCUGUGCAACACAUGUAGGUGUAACGUUACAGUAACACAAUUACUCCAAAUAUCAACAUUCUGUGAUGUUUAUGUAAAAGUAUAUUUUAGAAUAAAAAGAGAAAUAUUUAUCA